rnacentral:rRNA from 1 species
UAGGGAAUAUUGGUCAAUGGGCGGAAGCCUGAACCAGCCAUGCCGCGUGCAGGAAGACGGCCUUCUGGGUUGUAAACUGCUUUUACCAGGGAACAAAUAGGCCGUGCGUGGCAAGUUGAGUGUACCUGGGGAAUAAGCACCGGCUAACUCCGUGCCAGCAGCCGCGGUAAUACGGAGGGUGCAAGCGUCGUCCGGAUUUAUUGGGUUUAAAGGGUACGUAGGCGGAUGAUUAAGUCCGUGGUGAAAGCUCUCGGCUCAACCGGGAAACUGCCAUGGAUACUGGUUAUCUUGAGUACAGUAGAGGUGGGCGGAAUUCAUGGUGUAGCGGUGAAAUGCAUAGAUACCAUGAGGAACACCGAUAGGGAAGCCAGCUCACUGGACUGUAACUGACGCUGAGGUACGAAAGCGUGGGGAGCGAACAGGAUUAGAUACCCGUGUAGUCC